UACGUAGGGUGCGAGCGUUAAUCGGAAUUACUGGGCGUAAAGCGUGCGCAGGCGGUUAUGUAAGACAGAGGUGAAAACCCCCGGCUCAACCUGGGAACUGCCUUUGUGACUGCAUGACUAGAGUACGGCAGAGGGGGAUGGAAUUACGCGUGUAGCAGUGAAAUGCGUAGAUAUGAGGAGGAACACCGAUGGCGAAGGCAAUCCCCUGGGCCUGUACUGACGCUCAUGCACGAAAGCGUGGGGAGCAAACAGG
rnacentral:rRNA from 1 species